CUACGGGACGCUGCAGGCGAGAAAACUUUGCAAUGUGCGAAAGCACGACAAGGUUAAUCCGAGUGGUUUGUGCUAAACGAACCUUUUGACAGUCCUAGAAACACUGUUGAAUAAGGGGUGGGCAAGUUCUGGUGUCAGCCGCCGCGGUAAAACCAGCACCUCAAGUGGUCAGGAUGAUUAUUGGGCCUAAAGCAUCCGUAGCCGGCUCUGUAAGUUUUCGGUUAAAUCUGUACGCUCAACGUACAGGCUGCCGGGAAUACUGCAGAGCUAGGGAGUGGGAGAGGUAGACGGUACUCGGUAGGAAGGGGUAAAAUCCUUUGAUCUAUUGAUGACCACCUGUGGCGAAGGCGGUCUGCCAGAACACGUCCGACGGUGAGGGAUGAAAGCUGGGGGAGCAAACCGGAUUAGAUACCCGCGUAGUC
rnacentral:rRNA from 1 species